AUACGUAGGGAGCGAGCGUUGUCCGGAAUUACUGGGUGUAAAGGGAGCGUAGGCGGGAUGGCAAGUCAGAUGUGAAAACUAUGGGCUCAACCCAUAGACUGCAUUUGAAACUGUUGUUCUUGAGUGAAGUAGAGGUAAGCGGAAUUCCUGGUGUAGCGGUGAAAUGCGUAGAUAUCAGGAGGAACAUCGGUGGCGAAGGCGGCUUACUGGGCUUUUACUGACGCUGAGGCUCGAAAGCGUGGGGAGCAAACAGGAUUAGAUACCCUGGUAGUCCACGCUGUAAACGAUGAUUACUAGGUGUGGGGGGACUGACCCCUUCCGUGCCGCAGUUAACACAAUAAGUAAUCCACCUGGGGAGUACGGCCGCAAGGUUGAAACUCAAAUGAAUUGACGGGG
rnacentral:rRNA from 1 species